AGAGUUUGAUUCUGGCUCAGGAUUAACGCUGGCGGCGUGCCUAAUACAUGCAAGUCGAGCGAGGAAAGUAGCAAUACUUUUCGAGCGGCGAACGGGUGAGUAACACGUUGGGAAUCUACCCCUGAGACCGGAAUACCUGGAAGAAAUUUCAGCUAAUGCCGGAUACGUGGUCAACACAGAAGUGAUGAUCAUAAAAGGCGGCCUUAAAGCCGCGCUGAGGGAUGAACCUGCGGCGCAUUAGCUAGUUGGUGAGAUAAAAGCCCACCAAGGCGAGGAUGCGUAGCCGACCUGAGAGGGUGAACGGCCACACUGGAACUGAGACACGGUCCAG
rnacentral:rRNA from 1 species